UACGGAGGGUGCGAGCGUUGUCCGGAAUCACUGGGCGUAAAGGGCGCGUAGGCGGCUUGAUAAGUCACCCGUGAAAUCCCGGUGCUCAACGCCGGGGCCGCAGGUGAGACUGUCAGGCUAGAGCUCGGUAGAGGCGAGUGGAAUUCCCGGUGUAGCGGUGGAAUGCGUAGAUAUCGGGAAGAACACCGGUGGCGAAGGCGGCUCGCUGGGCCGAUGCUGACGCUGAUGCGCGAAAGCGUGGGGAGCAAACAGG
rnacentral:rRNA from 1 species